AGAGUUUGAUCCUGGCUCAGGAUGAACGCUGGCGGCGUGCUUAACACAUGCAAGUCGAACGAACCUUCGGGUUAGUGGCGGACGGGUGAGUAACGCGUGGGAAUCUGCCCUCAGGAGGGGGAUAACGGCUGGAAACGGCCGCUAAUACCCCAUAUGCCGAGAGGUGAAAGGAAAUUCGCCUGAGGAUGAGCCCGCGUCUGAUUAGCUAGUUGGUGGGGUAAGAGCUUACCAAGGCGACGAUCAGUAGCUGGUCUGAGAGGAUGAUCAGCCACACUGGGACUGAGACACGGCCCAGACUCCUACGGGAGGCAGCAGUGGGGAAUUUUCCGCAAUGGGCGAAAGCCUGACGGAGCAACGCCGCGUGAGGGAUGAAGGCCUCUGGGCUGUAAACCUCUUUUCUCAAGGAAGAAGACAUGACGGUACUUGAGGAAUAAGCCACGGCUAAUUCCGUGCCAGCAGCCGCGGUAAUACGGGAGUGGCAAGCGUUAUCCGGAAUUAUUGGGCGUAAAGCGUCCGCAGGCGGCCCUGUAAGUCUGUCGUUAAAGCGUGGAGCUUAACUCCAUUUAAGCGAUGGAAACUACAGGGCUUGAGUGUGGUAGGGGCAGAGGGAAUUCCCGGUGUAGCGGUGAAAUGCGUAGAUAUCGGGAAGAACACCAGUGGCGAAGGCGCUCUGCUGGGCCAUAACUGACGCUCAUGGACGAAAGCCAGGGGAGCGAAAGGGAUUAGAUACCCCUGUAGUCCUGGCCGUAAACGAUGAACACUAGGUGUCGGGGGAAUCGACCCCCUCGGUGUCGUAGCCAACGCGUUAAGUGUUCCGCCUGGGGAGUACGCACGCAAGUGUGAAACUCAAAGGAAUUGACGGGGGCCCGCACAAGCGGUGGAGUAUGUGGUUUAAUUCGAUGCAACGCGAAGAACCUUACCAGGGUUUGACAUCCUGCGAAUCCCUUGGAAACGAGGGAGUGCCUUCGGGAGCGCAGAGACAGGUGGUGCAUGGCUGUCGUCAGCUCGUGUCGUGAGAUGUUGGGUUAAGUCCCGCAACGAGCGCAACCCACGUCUUUAGUUGCCAGCAUUCAGUUGGGCACUCUAGAGAGACCGCCGGUGAUAAACCGGAGGAAGGUGUGGAUGACGUCAAGUCAUCAUGCCCCUUACAUCCUGGGCUACACACGUACUACAAUGCUACGGACAAAGGGCAGCAAGCUCGCGAGAGUUAGCAAAUCCCAUAAACCGUGGCUCAGUUCAGAUCGUAGGCUGCAACUCGCCUACGUGAAGGAGGAAUCGCUAGUAAUCGCAGGUCAGCAUACUGCGGUGAAUACGUUCCCGGGCCUUGUACACACCGCCCGUCACACCAUGGAAGUUGGCCAUGCCCGAAGUCGUUACUCCGACCG
rnacentral:rRNA from 1 species